CUCUUCGAUUUCUGGCGAUCACUCUCUCAAUCUCAAGCUCUCAUCGGCAUGGAGCCAUAUUAUGAUUCCCUACAAAAGUUUGCGUCCUCUUGUUUUUUUUAGGAGCUAUGGUAGUUGAUCGGCCAACUAGUUAUUGAAAUUGCAAACAUUAUCCUUGUUUUUGUUUUGCUAAUCUUUGCUCCAAAUCAUGUAUAUGUGACAAAGACACAAGCAUUAAAAACAGAUUGCUAAUUGUGUCAUAUUGGACUCUUUAUUAUGAACAGAGGAGAUUAGAAAGACAAUCAUUUAUGUGUA